CUCGAACUCCUGACCUCAGGUGAUCCACCUGCCUCGGCCUCCCAAAGUGCUGGGAUUACAGGCGUGAGUCACCGCAUCCAACCUUAGAUCUGCUUCUGACUGGAGACUGUGCCCACCUUCAUGGAAAACAGUGAGCAUCACCUUCCUUUGACUCAGAAGAGGCACAGUGAGUUAGCUGAAGGGGGUAACAUCACUUUUCCAGCUUUGAUCGCAAGGACCUCUAGCCUUGGGUUGGCUGUCC